CUGACUUACCAGAACUUUCCAAGGGGGUACUCUCUCUCCUGAAGAAGGUUUUGUAUGUUUUAACUGGGGGCAAUAUGGACCUGUUGAGAAAUAUGAAAAUUGUGCCCUAAGGUCUGAGUCUUAUUCGAUUAAAGGAUAAAAGCAAAUUGAUCAAAUAUGUGGACACUCGGAGUGCAUUUUUAUGGCCGCUGAGCAAAUUCUGAAAUGCAGCAAUCAGAUUCGAUUUUACUCCCUGUGGCUCCCUGGGAACGAGGGAAAUUGGAUGAGGAAGGCCUGCCGCUGGCCCUGCCAUGGAGAUCAAUGACUGUCCAGUUUCUAUUUUUGGCUUUCUUGAACGCUCUAUGGUCUUCAGAACUCAACCAGCAUCAAGCAAACCCAGAGGAUUUUAUGAUAACGUGAACGUGAAGCUUCCACGGCGUUAACAAAAGCAUUGCCUGUUUUGCAGCUGGGCCUCUCCUCCAUCCUCACCUCUGUCCCCUUAACCUUGGCAUUAUUCUGGCUGUCAAGGUAUUGGGAAAAUGAGAAGAGACUAAGACAGGGGACGGGGGUGGGGGCACACGGGGCAGCCAAGGGACCGUUGGUCUUCAUUUCAGCUGUGUUCAUAAUCCCAACCCAGCGAACGUCUAGGUACUCUGUGACGGGAGUGUGGCCAGCACCUCCCUGCUUUGAAAUUCCUAACACUGGUUUUAUUUGAUGGUUUGAAAGUAUCGCUAACAACAACCAUUAAAUAGCAAAAUUGGUUACAUGCCUUUCACAGGCGCCCUAAAAUCCCAAGGCCUGACCUUUCAUGAUGGCACAACAACCUGCCAAGAAGGGUGGUUGUGGAACUGACAAGGGUAAGAGAGACACUGGAAGGAGUCCUGAGCUUGGAUAUGAACCAGUGUAUGUUUAGUGUAGGCACUGGGCAUGUGACCUCAGGGGCUGAGCAUGAGCCCCAGGUACCAGCUUAAAUGACAGAACCCCAGGAUAUUAAAUUUCACUGUGCCUGCUCCAGGUA